rnacentral:rRNA from 1 species
GAUGAACGUUGGCGGCGUGCCUAAUACAUGCAAGUCGAACGAAGACUGUAGUAAUACUGUCUUAGUGGCGAACGGGUGAGUAACGCGUGGGUGACCUGCCCCGAAGUGUGGGAUAACAGUCCGAAAGGAUUGCUAAUACUGCAUAAUAUCCAAGAGAUUAGAUGCUUUUGGAUUAAAGGAGUAAUUCGCUUCGGGAGGGCCCGCGUCCCAUCAGCUAGUUGGUAAGGUAAUGGCUUACCAAGGCGAUGACGGGUAGGGGACCUGAGAGGGUGGCCCCCCACAAUGGAACUGAAACACGGUCCAUACACCUACGGGUGGCAGCAGUAGGGAAUAUUAGUAAUGGGCGAAAGCCUGAACUAGCAACGCCGCGUGUGCGAAGAAGGCCUUCGGGUCGUAAAGGCAACUUUUUCGAGAGGAUGAGGAAGGACGGGUACUCUCAGAAUAAGUCUCGGCUAACUACGUGCCCAGCAGCCGCGGUAACUCACGAGAGUA